GCACUCCCAAACAGAAGACUUUAACACAUGUUGGAGCUACUGUACUUGAUGAACAGGUUUACUCCUUUAAGCUAUGAAUGCUUUGGCAGAACCAGGAAGAUUUUUUGCACUUCUGGCUUAUCAGUGUGGUGUGGCUUCAAGGACAACUUCGUCAGUGGGAAGAAAGGAAGGACACCAACACUUUCUGAAAUAGAGCAGAAAAUUGGGGUCGUUCUCCCUGUCCUGUCCUCCUCAACACAGCACACUCAAACGAUCAGAAGCGUUCAUAUUUCUGGAGCCUGGUCAGCUCUCUUUGCACAAUGUAGAUUUGCUGUGAAGGCCGGAUUCAAGCCAGCUGGUUUGGCUGAACAAGAUGAGGGGAGCACAGAGCUGUGUCAUCAUGCCAAAGCUAGCCGGAACAGUUUGUCAGCCCAUGGUCCACUUACGAUGCAAAGACCACAUGCUAAGGCAGACCUCCUCCUGCACACCUGCUAGGUCUGCUAAAAGAGGAGGAAGCUAACUUCUGUACUGGCAACUGAAGGACACUUUCAAUACUUUCAGAGUUACCAAGUCAGUUAUAUUAAAUCCCUG
rnacentral:lncRNA from 1 species